rnacentral:tRNA from 1 species
GGGCAUUUAGCUCAGUGGUAGAGCACUUGCCUAGCAAGCACAAGGCCCUGGGUUCGGUCCCCAGCUCA